rnacentral:rRNA from 1 species
CUCAUGGUUUCACGGUAUUGCAAUGAGAACAAUUUAAAACCCUUAGCGAGAAUCAAGUGGAGGACAAGUCUGGUGCCAGCACCCGCGGUAAUUCCAGCUCCACUAGCGUAUAUUAAAGUUGUUGCAGUUAAAAAGCUCGUAGUUGAACCUCUGUCUGGGGCUAGUUUUGGCUUUGGUCAGGCUAGUUCUAGGCAUCCGCCUACAAGACUUAGAGGGCAUUCAGUUGCUCACUAGGAGGAGUAGGCAUUUUACUUUGAAAAAAUUAGAGUGUUUAAGGCAGGCAAUCGCCCGCAUAUAUUAGCAUGGAAUAAUAGAAUAGGACACUUUUCCAUUUCGUUGGUUAUUGGAAUCGUGUAACGAUUAAUAGGGACAGUUGUGGGCAUUUGUAUUUAAUUGUCAGAGGUGAAAUUCUUGGAUUUAUUAAAGACAAACUAACGCGAAAGCAUUUGCCAAGGAUGUUUUCAUUAAUCAAGAACGAAAGUUAGGGGAUCAAAGACGAUCAGAUACCGUCCUAGUCUUAACUAUAAACUAUUCCGACUCAAUGUUUGACUGGCUUAUAUAACCAGUUGAGCGUUGUAUGAGAAAUCAAAGUCUUUAGGUUCUGGGGGGAGUAUGGUUGCAAAGCUGAAACUUAAAGGAAUUGACGGAAGAGCACAACCAGGAGUGGAUUCUGCGGCUUAAUUUGACGCAACACGGGGAAACUUACCAGGUUAAAACAAUAGUGGGAUUGACAGUUUGAGAGCGCUUUCUUGAUUGGUUGGGUGUGGUGCAUGGCCGUUCUUAGUUGGUGGAGUGAUUUGUCUGCUUAAUUGCGUUAACGAACGAGACCUUAACCUGCUUACUAGACUGGCGAUCAUCAAUCGUUAGCUCUUCUUAGAGGGACUUUGGUUGUUUUAACUCCAAGGAAGUUUGAGGCAAUAACAGGUCUGUGAUGCCCUUAGAUAUCCUGGGCCGCACGCGUCAUACAAUGACUAGUUCAGAAAGUUUUCUCCUGACCCGAAAGGGGAUGGGUAAUCUUGAUAAUACUAGUCGUGUUAGGGAUCGAUCUUUGCAAUUAUAGAUCUUGAACGAGGAAUUCCUAGUAAGUGCGGUUCAUCAGACCGUACUGAUUACGUCCCUGCUCUUUGUACACACCGCCCGUCGCUUCUACCGAGUGGGUGGUCCGGUGAGAUAAUUGAACUUCGCAGGUAACUGAGAGGAAAGAUUAUCAAACCUAUCCACCU